CUAAGAAUAUUCCGCAAUGGACGGAAGUCUGACGGAGCGACGCCGCGUGGAUGACGAAGGCCGAAAGGUUGUAAAGUUCUUUUGCUGGGGAAGAAUAACCGCAGGAGGGAAUGCCUGUGGGAUGACAAGAACCGGCGAAUAAGCCCCGGCCAACUACGUGCCAGCAGCCGCGGUAACACGUAGGGGGGCGAGCGUUGUUCGGAAUUACUGGGCGUAAAGGGCAUGUAGGCGGCUUGGAAAGCCUGGCGUGAAAGUCUGCAGCUUAACUGCAGGGGUGCGCUGGGAACUGCUGAGCUUGAGUGACGGAGAGGGAGCUGGAAUUCCUGGUGUAGGGGUGAAAUCUGUAGAUAUCAGGAAGAACACCGAUGGCGAAGGCAAGCUCCUGGCCGAUGACUGACGCUGAGGUGCGAAAGUGUGGGGGAUCAAAACAGGAUUAGAUACCCUGGUAGUCCACACAGUCAACGAUGUGCACUAGGUGCUGGGGCGGUAGCUUCGGUGCCGGAGCGAACGUGGUAAGUGCACCGCCUGGGGGAGUAUGCUCGCAAGGGUGAAACUCAAAUGAAUUGACGGGGGUCAUAGC
rnacentral:rRNA from 1 species